AACGAACGCUGGCGGCGUGCUUAACACAUGCAAGUCGAACGCGAAAGGGACUUCGGUCCUGAGUAAAGUGGCGCACGGGUGAGUAACGCGUAGAUAACCUGUCUUCAUGUCUGGAAUAAUACGCCGAAAGGGGUACUAAUACCGGAUAUUCUUGCUUUUCAUAAGUUAUGCAAGCAAAGGUGGCCUCUGCAUAUGCUGCUGCAUGAAGAGGGGUCUGCGUACCAUUAGCUAGUAGGUGGGGUAAUGGCCUACCUAGGCGACGAUGGUUAGCGGGUCUGAGAGGAUGAUCCGCCACACUGGCACUGGAACACGGGCCAGACUCCUACGGGAGGCAGCAGUGAGGAAUAUUGCGCAAUGGGGGAAACCCUGACGCAGCGACGCCGCGUGAGUGAGGAAAGGCCUUCGGGUCGUAAAGCUCUGUCAAGAGGAAAGAAGUGUACAAUGGCUAAUACCUGUUGUAUUUGACGGUACCUCUAAAGGAAGCACCGGCUAACUCCGUGCCAGCAGCUGC
rnacentral:rRNA from 1 species